UCAGGACGAACGCUGGCGGCGUGCCUAACACAUGCAAGUCGAACGGAGAUACGCGCUGAAUGGAUGGAGCUUGCUUUUGAAAUUCUUGUGUAUCUUAGUGGCGGACGGGUGAGUAACGCGUGAGCAACCUGCCUUUCAGAGGGGGAUAACGUUUGGAAACGAACGCUAAUACCGCAUGAGACCACGGUACUGCAUAGUACAGUGGCCAAAGGAGCAAUCCGCUGAAAGAUGGGCUCGCGUCCGAUUAGAUAGUUGGCGGGGUAACGGCCCACCAAGUCGACGAUCGGUAGCCGGACUGAGAGGUUGAACGGCCACAUUGGGACUGAGACACGGCCCAGACUCCUACGGGAGGCAGCAGUGAGGGAUAUUGGUCAAUGGGGGAAACCCUGAACCAGCAACGCCGCGUGAGGGAAGACGGUUUUCGGAUUGUAAACCUCUGUCCUCUGUGAAGAUAAUGACGGUAGCAGAGGAGGAAGCUCCGGCUAACUACGUGCCAGCAGCCGCGGUAAUACGUAGGGAGCGAGCGUUGUCCGGAUUUACUGGGUGUAAAGGGUGCGUAGGCGGCCCUGCAAGUCAGAAGUGAAAUCCAUGGGCUUAACCCGUGAACUGCUUUUNGAACUGCANGACUUGAGUGG
rnacentral:rRNA from 1 species